GGGUCACCGUUUGUUAAGCGCAAAUAUGGAUGACUGUUUUUGCUGACUUCAUUGUUUGGCUUAUAAGAGUUAUCAAAUAUCACUUUGAUUAAAUUAGAGUGCUUAAAGCAAGUGUCUUACUUGAAUAUAAAUGCAUGGAAUGAUGGAAUAUGUUGUUGUUCUAUUUGUUGGUUUUUGAACGAUGAAAUGAUUGAAAGGAACUGUUGGGGGCAUUCGUAUUGUUGUGAGAGAGGUGAAAUUCUUAGACCACAGCAAGACGAACUACUGCGAAAGCAUUUGCCAAGAAUGUUUUCAUUGAUCAAGAACGAAAGUUAGAGGUUCGAAGGCGAUCAGAUACCGCUCUAGUUCUAACCAUAAACUAUGCCAACUAGCAAUUUGCUUAUGUAUGUUUUAUGACUAGGUGAGAGGCCACGGGAAACCAAAGUAGGGUUAUGGGGGAAGUAUGGUUGCAAAGCUGAAACUUAAAGGAAUUGACGGAAGGGCACCACCAGGAGUGGAGCCUGCGGCUUAAUUUGACUCAACACGGGAAAACUUACCUGGUCCUGACACUAGAAGGAUUGACAGAUUGAUAGCUCUUUCUUGAUUUGGUGGAUGGUGGUGCAUGGCCGUUCUUAGUUGGUGGAGUGAUUUGUCUGGUUAAUUCCGAUAACGAACGAGACUCUAGCCUAUUAAACAACACACAGAAUCAUGUCUUCUGCGGUGUUUCUUAAUGGGAUCAAGUG
rnacentral:rRNA from 1 species